GAUGAACGCUAGCGAUAGGCUUAACACAUGCAAGUCGAGGGGUAACGUGUUGGAAGCUUGCUUCCGAUGACGACGACCGGCGGAUGGGUGCGUAACGCGUAUGCAACUUGCCUCACAGUGGAGAAUAACCCGGAGAAAUCCGGACUAAUACUCCAUACACUCUUAAGUACGCCUGUACAUGAGAGGAAAGAUUUAUCGCUGUGAGAUAGGCAUGCGUCCUAUUAGGUAGUUGGUGAGGUAACGGCUCACCAAGCCGACGAUAGGUAGGGGUGCUGAGAGGCAGACCCCCCACAUUGGGACUGAGACACGGCCCAAACUCCUACGGGAGGCAGCAGUGAGGAAUAUUGGUCAAUGGAGGAAACUCUGAACCAGCCAAGUCGCGUGAAGGAAGAAUGUCCUAAGGAUUGUAAACUUCUUUAGCGAGCGAGUAAGGACUUCCACGUGAUGGGAGUUUGAAAGUAGCUCGAGAAUAAGUAUCGGCUAACUCC
rnacentral:rRNA from 1 species